AACGAACGCUGGCGGCAUGCCUAACACAUGCAAGUCGAACGAGACCUUCGGGUCUAGUGGCGCACGGGUGCGUAACGCGUGGGAACCUGCCCUUAGGUUCGGAAUAACUCCCCGAAAGGGGUGCUAAUACCGGAUAAUGUCUUCGGACCAAAGAUUUAUCGCAUUUGGAUGGGCCCGCGUUGGAUUAGCUAGUUGGUAGGGUAAAAGCCUACCAAGGCGACGAUCCAUAGCUGGUCUGAGAGGAUGAUCAGCCACACUGGGACUGAGACACGGCCCAGACUCCUACGGGAGGCAGCAGUGGGGAAUAUUGGACAAUGGGCGAAAGCCUGAUCCAGCAAGGCCGCGUGAGUGAUGAAGGCCUUAGGGUUGUAAAGCUCUUUUACCCGUGAUGAUAAUGACAGUACCGGGAGAAUAAGCUCCGGCUAACUCCGUG
rnacentral:rRNA from 1 species